rnacentral:lncRNA from 1 species
GGAGGAAGAAGAAGAAGAAGAAGAGGGAAAAAAAAAAAGAAGCUCCAGCUGAAGGAAAAAGAAGAAGAAAAAGAAAAAGAGAAAAAAAAUUUGCUCCUGCAGGAAGAAGAAGAAGAAGAAGAGCCCGCCUGGCGGUGCUCCGGCGGCGUGCCCGCCUAGCCUUCGCUAUUUUUUUUCGACGAAAAAAAAAAGAACGAGAGAACGAAGAGGAGAGAGAAAGAAGAAAGAGAAAAAGUAAUAAGGGUAUUUUGGUCAGUUUGUUGAAAAAACGGACCGAAUUUGCAAAAACGAAAAAGAUGACCCAAUUUUACAAAAGUCCAAAAUAAGUGAAUUUUUUAUGCAAAAAGGCCUUUCUAAUCAGAUGUAAAGUCAUUAUCUAGCAAUUCGCCACAUGAUUUUAAUGGAUGCCGCACUCAUUUGGAUUUCGUUGCCCACUUUGUCAAAGAAGCUAUGAUUACGUUCCACACCCACCGAUCGAGUUCUUUUUUCUUUCUUUUUUUUUUUUUUUAUUAAUCUUCAAAUAUUAUCAUGUAAUUUCACACUUUUUUAUUUUAAUAUCCUAUAAUUUAAAGUGUAUUAAUUUAGUAGCCUAUAAUUUUAUUUUAUUUUUUUUGUUAUUUUCUCCAUUAUUUUUUUUAUUAAAUCAGUGACAAAGUUAAAAUUAAAAAAUUAUUAAGUUAAUAUUUGAGAAAUCUAGAUAAAAUAUUUAAAGUUUUUUUAAUAUAAUUUAAUAAAAUAUUAAUCGAGUCGCUGACGAAAAAAAAAAAAAGAAGAAGUUACAGAAUAUUAAAUUGAUAUAAUUUUAAAUCAUAGUGUAUUAAAAUAAGAAAGUGCAAAAAAUUGUAUGGAUGAUAUUUAAAGUUUACUUUUUCAAAAAAAUAAGA